rnacentral:rRNA from 1 species
ACACGACUACAUUAGAUACCCCGGUAGUCCCAGCCUAACGAUGCGCGUUAGGUGUAUCGGUGACCACGAGUCACCGAGGUGCCGAAGGGAAACCGUGAAACGUGCCGCCUGGGAAGUACGGUCGCAAGGCUGAAACUUAAAGGAAUUGGCGGGGGAGCACCACAACGGGUGGAGCUUGCGGUUUAAUUGGAUUCAACGCCGGAAAUCUUACCGGGACCGACAGCAACAUGAAGGCCAGGCUGAAGACUUUGCCGGAUUAGCUG